rnacentral:rRNA from 1 species
UACGCAGGGGGCUAGCGUUGUUCGGAAUCACUGGGCGUAAAGGGCGCGUAGGCGGCUAGAUAAGUCGGGGGUGAAAGCCUGUGGCUCAACCACAGAAUUGCCUUCGAUACUGUCUGGCUUGAGACCGGAAGAGGUUAGUGGAACUGCGAGUGUAGAGGUGAAAUUCGUAGAUAUUCGGAGGAACACCAGUGGCGAAGGCGGCUCACUGGUCCGGUACUGACGCUGAGGUGCGAAAGCGUGGGGAGCAAACAGG